rnacentral:rRNA from 1 species
AUGACACUUAAUAAUGAUGCAAAGAUGGUUUUCAUUGAGAAAUAUAUGGAUGCGGCGGAUGAAAAGAGCCGCGAACUCAUUAAAGAAAAGAUGACUCUGUGGGUGAAUAGUUGCGAUGCAAGGAAUGAAGCUGCGAGGAACUCUGCACGGUUAUAUUUUUCUGAUGACUCAGAUAAUGUCAUCGCUGAAACGGAAAAGAAUUUUGCCGAGAUGGAAAAGGCUGAACUUGAUUGUAGAAGUGAUCUAGGUAGGCAAAUCACAAUUUAUGCAACUAUGCUACAAUAUCGUCAGAUGGACUUGAAUAGGCCUGGACAGAUCAUUGACUGGGCAAUCAAUGAAGCUAUGUCCCCGAUACCGACCUAG